UACGAAGGGGGCUAGCGUUGCUCGGAAUUACUGGGCGUAAAGGGAGCGUAGGCGGACAGUUUAGUCAGAGGUGAAAGCCCAGGGCUCAACCCUGGAAUUGCCUUUGAUACUGACUGUCUUGAGUGUGGGAGAGGUGUGUGGAACUCCGAGUGUAGAGGUGAAAUUCGUAGAUAUACGGAGGAACACCAGCGGCGAAGGCGGGUAGCUGGGCCAACACUGACGCUGAUGCGCGAAAGCUAGGGUAGCAAACGGG
rnacentral:rRNA from 1 species